rnacentral:ncRNA from 1 species
UGAGGUAGAGGUCGCGAGGUUCAUUACCCCUGUGGAGCAAAGCAAAUGCGCAGAAACAGGACUAGGGAACAUCGCCGAAAUGAAUAAAUCUUUGCUUGGUUUAUUUGUUGGGACGCAAGUCAAUAGCUUGCGGACUGUCUUAGCAACUUGCUAAGAUGCGCUAUG